GAUGAAGAACGUAGCGAAAUGCGAUACGUAAUGUGAAUUGCAGAAUUCAGUGAAUUAUCGAAUCUUUGAACGCAUAUUGCGCUCUCUGGUAUUCCGGAGAGCAUGCUUGUUUGAGUAUCAGUAAACACCUCAACUUCCAUAUCUUUUUUGAAAUGGGAGUUGGACUUGAGUGAUCCCAACGCUUUUCCUCACCGAAAAGUGGCGGGUUACUUGAAAUGCAGGUGCAGCUGGACUUUUCUCUGAGCUAUAAGCAUAUCUAUUUAGUCUGCCUAAAAAACAGAUUAUUACCUUUGCUGCAGCUAACAUAAAGGAGAUUAGUUCUUGUGCUGACUGAUGCAGGAUUCACAAAGACAGGCUUCGGCCGACUUUGUAAACUCGAUCUCAAAUCAAGUAAGACUACCCGCUGAACUUAAGCAUAUCAAUAAGCGGAGGA
rnacentral:misc_RNA from 1 species